rnacentral:sRNA from 1 species
GCAUGGGCUACUUUGGCAAGCGCACGGG